UUAUGGCCCCAAUGAAUUUACCGCCCAANGCUUUGGGUNCCNGAAGCUUGGGAUCCCACUAAGUAACCGGCCCGCCCAGUGUUGCUUGGAAAUUUCGCCCUUUCGCGGCCUUAUCAGCUUGUUUGNUGGGGUAAAUGGCCUUACCAAGGCGGGNGACGGAUAUCCGGCCUGAGAGGGUGUACGNACACAUUGGGACUGAGAUACGGCCCCAGACUCCUUACGGGAGGCAGCAGUGGGGAAUAUUGCACAAUGGGCGCAAGCCUUGAUGCAGCGACGUCGCGUGGGGGAUGAAGGCCUUCGGGUUGUAAACUCCUUUCGCUAUCGACGAAGCCUUCGGGUGACGGUAGGUAGAUAAGAAGCACCGGCUAACUACGUGCCAGCAGCCGCGGUAAUACGUAGGGUGCAAGCGUUGUCCGGAAUUACUGGGCGUAAAGAGCUCGUAGGUGGUUUGUCGCGUCGUCUGUGAAAUCCCGGGGCUUAACCUCGGGCGUGCAGGCGAUACGGGCAUAACUUGAGUGCUGUAGGGGAGACUGGAAUUCCUGGUGUAGCGGUGAAAUGCGCAGAUAUCAGGAGGAACACCGAUGGCGAAGGCAGGUCUCUGGGCAGUAACUGACGCUGAGGAGCGAAAGCAUGGGUAGCGAACAGGAUUAGAUACCCUGGUAGUCCAUGCCGUAAACGGUGGGCGCUAGGUGUAGGGGGCUUCCACGUCUUCUGUGCCGUAGCUAACGCAUUAAGCGCCCCGCCUGGGGAGUACGG
rnacentral:rRNA from 1 species